CACGACACCGCUACGGAACUAAAAAAAAUCAACUAAGCAAUAUGGCGGUAUGUGGCGUUGGCUUGUUUCAGGAUUUUUGUACGAGGACUAACAUUUGAUACAUGUUUGAUAUGAGAUGACAAUCCAUUACAGACACUGCAUCAGAAAUCAAGUUGUUUUACAGAAAAGAAAUAGCAUGCAUGAGUGGCAACUUGGGAAACAUGAAUUGUUCUUUGCUGAAUAAGGUCUCAGCUUCCAUUGUGGGAAUGGAAAGGUGGAAACAAGGUCUCAUCAGGAUGUUAAAAAUGAAGAACCAGGGUUAUUUACAACAAAGACUUUAUUUUGACCAGAUAAAACUGAUUACAUGAAACUGACACUCAUGGCAACCAUCCAAGUAUUUUCCAUACUGAUCUGGAAGAAAGACAAAACUGCUAACCACAAAAUUUUAAUAUUUAUGUAAUUAUAUCACUGAUAUAAACGGACUUCUAUUAGUGUAAAGCCUUGAAUUCGUUAAACAGUUCAUACUGCAAAAUGUUAGCAAAUUGACAAAU